GGUAGCACAGUGGUUAAGCGUUUGGCUGGUAACCAAAAGGUGGGCGGUUCAAAUCCACCAGCCA
rnacentral:tRNA from 1 species